rnacentral:rRNA from 1 species
AGAGUUUGAUCCUGGCUCAGGAUGAACGCUAGCGGCAGGCCUAAUACAUGCAAGUCGAGCGGCAAGUCGAGGAGUAAUCUAAGACCUAGAGCGGCGCACGGGUGCGUAACGCGUAUGCACCUACCUUAUACUGGGGGAUAGCCCGGAGAAAUCUGGAUUAAUACCCCAUGGCACAUAUUGAGGGCAUCUGAGAUAUGUUAAAGAUUUAUUGGUAUAAGAUGGGCAUGCGUCUGAUUAGCUAGUUGGCGGUGUAACGGACCACCAAGGCGACGAUCAGUAGGGGUUCUGAGAGGAAGGUCCCCCACACUGGCACUGAGAUACGGGCCAGACUCCUACGGGAGGCAGCAGUAGGGAAUAUUGGGCAAUGGUCGGAAGACUGACCCAGCCAUGCCGCGUGCAGGAAGAAGGCCCUCUGGGUUGUAAACUGCUUUUAUCUGGGAAGAAAAAGGCCAUGCGUGGCAAAUUGCCGGUACCAGAUGAAUAAGCACCGGCUAACUCCGUGCCAGCAGCCGCGGUAAUACGGAGGGUGCAAGCGUUGUCCGGAUUUAUUGGGUUUAAAGGGUGCGUAGGCGGCUGAUUAAGUCAGCGGUGAAAGACUUCGGCUUAACCGGAGCAGUGCCGUUGAUACUGAUUGGCUUGAGUGUUGGAGGGGUACAUGGAAUUGAUGGUGUAGCGGUGAAAUGCAUAGAUACCAUCAGGAACACCGAUAGCGAACGCAUUGUACUGGCCAACAACUGACGCUGAGGCACGAAAGUGUGGGGAUCGAACAGGAUUAGAUACCCUGGUAGUCCACACUGUAA